CUCAAGCCCUUCUGUGAAGCAAUGGAAGUGUGAUUUUGGUUGGAGUUUUAGUCCUAGUGGGUCGUAGUCGCAGAGCUUCAUCGACCGAGUUCAGCCCGUCUCGGAGCUACGCAUCGGCAACUCCUCCUCCCGCCGAAUGGGAACCCCCGGUUCGCUCCUACUUUCUAAGGCGCCGUUCAAGAACGGCAAGAGCGGCGUCCAGGGAAGAAUGAGACGUCGAUUCUCGUCCGGAUUCGCGGGGGCGCGGACGAGUACGCGGAGUUGCAGGCUUGUAUCGUGCCCAACGGCUCGGCCCGGAAGAAACAGUACAUGUUCAGGUCGAUCGCCGAUCCGAAUUACACCGUCGGCUUCUUGGAUCGGACGGUGAGCCACGUUUGACUUUUCAAUUCCCUCGGUGUACUCCUCACACGGGUCUCCAUAGCUGAAGUUAAGCAGCAGCAGAAGUGCUGGAAAGCAGGGGCUGCUGCAAUAAUGUGGCAUCUUAGGCGGUUGCCACAGGUCAUUCCAUGUUCUUGCAAUGAUAGAAUAUGCUGUUGAGCUUCUCCCAUUUUUAAUGCCAUGCAGUCUGGUUGUUGAAUUUAAGGAUCUUUCGCUUAUGUUGGAUGGGUUACACCCUUAGGCAGAGCCUGAAGAGGGCUUCGGAUUGCAUCAUUGUACCAGCACUGUUAAGAUUAUAGAAUAAGAUAGGGGCACAAAAAUUAUGUUGGCUUUCUGGGAUAUAUUGCUGUAGAUAUGCUCUCUCUUAACUAUAGUUGGUGUGGUUCGCGGUGGUUUUAGGUCGUUCUAGUUGGAUCCGUUUUGCUUCUCACGGUUUUGCAUUCCUUUUUUGGAACCGGUUUCUUUUUCUUUUUCUUUUUUUAUCCGUACCUAGUGCUUUUUGGUUGGAUCUUUGGUGCAUGAGUGGCUUUUAGUUGAUUAUUCUUUGGGUUAUGAAGUAAUUCUUUUGUGCAAUUGAAGCUGAUUUUAUCAGUCAGUUAUUAUUAACCUGUCAGUAGGAUAUUGAGUCUGUGUAGCUCCAUCAUAUUAGAAGUUGCUAUUUCGCAUGGUUUAGGAUUCUCAAUCUGAUGAUGAAAUGCUUUACGGCUUACACUUGCAAGUACCACCAAGUCAUUCACAUUUUUUCUUCUGAAAUACUUUUGAGAAUUGAAUGCCUACAGUGGAGGAAGCUAUUCUAUCCGUGAUGCUGCUCUGAAAAUGCCUCCUUGGCCGGAUGUCUGUGCUCCAAACAGUUGAAUCAUGCUAUCUCUAUUGUCCCAACACAAAAAAGAGGUUGGUACUUGCAAGUGUAAACUGUAAAGCAUUAGAAUACCUUUGCAUAUUAGAAUACCUAUAAAAUUCAUCUUUAAUUUUGUAAACCGUGGAAAGUUGCAAACUGUGUUUUUAUCCAAUGAAUCUGUUUUUUUAUCCGAAAACAGGUAAUGCAUAUCCGAGAUAGAAAAAAAGGCAAUACUUUUUUUUUUCUUUGCAAAAGUAUGUUGGAAUACCCUUUUUUUUUUUUUUAAAUCAUGGAAUAAUGACUUGCGGAAAAAUCUCUGUUGUUGGACGGAGAUUUGAGAUGGGUUUCUUCGGUACCAUGUUAGGUUUUUCUGGUUUUGAUUUCUAUCGGUCUUGUUGCUGGAUAUUUCCUCUUCAUCUAUUUCCAACCCAGCGAUGUUCUCCCCCCCCCCCCACCCACCCCAAAUAUAUAUUUAUUUAUGUUUGAUUUAAUAUUCUAGAGGCAUCUAUCAUUAUAUUGGAUUGGGUUGAUAUAGUCAAUGCUCACAUAAUUUAUGGUCCUGGAAUUGUUGAUGGAUUGAAAUAUUGGAUUGGGCUGGUAUAGUCUUGCAGAAAUUGAAUUUUUCAUACAUGCUGAGUCUGAUAUUAAUUUAAUUUGCCAAACAAUCUUUCUUUUUUUCUUUUUUAAUUGGCCAAAGUAUGAAAAACUAACCAUAUUGCCACGAUUCAUAAUGUGAUUUCUUGAAUUUUAUUUUUGGGUGUUUUCAAGCCAUUGAUACCUCCUCGAUGUACAUGAUCGUCAAAGAAAGCAUUUGGCAACACAGGUCUGCUCUGUAUGUUUUGAUUUAUUAUUGAAAUUUUUUCUUGAUGAACACCUUAGCCUGUCAGUUCAUUCCUUGAUGUAGAGAUGGGGAAGGAGUACAUAUCAAAUGGUUCAUCAGAUUCAAGUAUCAUGCUAUCAUAUCAAAUGGAUGUGUUUGGCCUGGAGGAGCACUAUAAUUUUGUGAUCCCAAUUUGAUCGAAUGGAUAUGUUUCAAAUUAUAUGUAUAAAAUUCGUUGAAGAGGUACUGUAUGUGUGGUUGGAUCAUAAUGACCUUCCUGUUAUAAGAUGAUUGUUUUAAUUUAAA